GAUGAACGCUAGCUACAGGCUUAACACAUGCAAGUCGAGGGGAAACGGCAUCGAAAGCUUGCUUUUGAUGGGCGUCGACCGGCGCACGGGUGAGUAACGCGUAUCCCACCUGCCCAUCACUUGGGAAUAACCUUGCGAAAGUAAGACUAAUGCCCAAUGACAUCCCACGAAGGCAUCCGAAUGGGAUUAAAGAUUUAUCGGUGAUGGAUGGGGAUGCGUCUGAUUAGCUUGUUGGCGGGGUGACGGCCCACCAAGGCAACGAUCAGUAGGGGUUCUGAGAGGAAGGUCCCCCACAUUGGAACUGAGCCACGGUCCAAACUCCUACGGGAGGCAGCAGUGAGGAAUAUUGGUCAAGGGGCGAGAGCCUGAACCAGCCAAGUAGCGUGCAGGAUGACGGCCCUAUGGGUUGUAAACUGCUUUUAUAAGGGAAUAAAGUGGGUCACGUGUGACUUUUUGCAUGUACCUUAUGAAUAAGGACCGGCUAAUUCCGUG
rnacentral:rRNA from 1 species